GAUGAUGAGCGUUGAUUGCUGUUUGCAGGUUCGUUGCAAGUUGCGUGGUGCAGAGAUGAAGGUUCGAUGAAAGUGAUGAACAUUGAUAUUAUCACAUGAAGGAGAAAACUCGGUGAUGACUGGCAAUUCGACACGUUGCGAAGUAGUUGAUGAAUCGUGAAGGUGAUUGAAGUCGUUGAUGUUGAAACGCUUACGUUUCUAGCACCGAAUUGAAGAUGAACGAGGAUGGAAGCUUCGAUUGCAGAGAAAUAUGAAAUCGGAGAAUGAAGGAAAGAGAUCGAUGAACGUCUCUGCAGAUUUUUGAGAGCUUGAUCGAAGAAGAGAAAGGAUUGAAAUCGAGAGAGAUGAAGGUUUUGUUGAAGAUUGAAGGAGAGUGAUAUUUUUCUGGAGGUGAUUGAAUGGAAGUGAUGAUGAAGGAGAUGGAGAGCGUGAGUUGAAAUUGAAGAUGAUGAAGAAUCCGUGAUGAAGAGCGGUUUAGAGAGAGAGAUGAAGUUUGUUACGGCUGGUUCGGUUUAUUCAUUGCGGUUCGAGUUGCUCGAGUUGCGGUUCAACUUGAAAUGUACAAGGAUCAAAAGCCGAGAUACACUAUGGAAUAGGCUUAGUUUUUGAUUAAUCGUUUCAGAACAUGUUUCUUUUUGUCAUGGAUAUUGAAUAGUGAAUGGAUGAAUGUAAUUGUUUGAAUUUGAAUUAUUCAUGUAAUGGACUUUGUAUUGA